GGGGUUAUUCAAGGCCAAAUUCGUAUCCACCAGGCUGCCCUCCCUUUAGUAAGGAGUAAAUUUCCCUGCACCAGAAUUCGCGUCGUGCUGCCCUACGCAUCAUUGCAACGACUGAUCCCGAAUUUUGGAAGACAUGAAUCACAUCGCGAACUUUUAAACGGUCCAAUUCGUGAGAGUUUAAACGUGUUUGUCUUCUCGUCAGUAUUCGUCAAAGUUGGGGGAGAAGCUUACCUAAUUCGGUUUGGAAAAUUGUCUUCCGGUUAAACUUGCAAUGUCUAUUUUCACUAGGGAAUCCUGUACUUUAUCCGUUACCAAGUUAUGUUGAAACAAUAAUCUAUUUCAUAUUUUUAUCUGACAUGUUAUACACUCUAAAUAAAAAUGAGUAAAAUUUACUCA